CCUACGGGUGGCAGCAGUGAGGAAUAUUGGUCAAUGGCCGUAAGGCUGAACCAGCCAAGUCGCGUGAAGGAAGAAGGAUCUAUGGUUUGUAAACUUCUUUUAUAGGGGAAUAAAGGUAUCCACGUGCGGAUAUUUGCAUGUACCCUAUGAAUAAGCAUCGGCUAACUCCGUGCCAGCAGCCGCGGUAAUACGGAGGAUGCGAGCGUUAUCCGGAUUUAUUGGGUUUAAAGGGUGCGUAGGUGGUUAUGUAAGUCAGCGGUGAAAGUUGGUGGCUCAACCAUAAGAUUGCCGUUGAAACUGGAAGGCUGGAGUGUGGUUGAGGUAGGCGGAAUGCGUGGUGUAGCGGUGAAAUGCAUAGAUAUCACGCAGAACUCCAGUUGCGAAGGCAGCUUACUGAGCCAUAACUGACACCGAAGCACGAAAGCGUGGGGAUCAAACAGGAUUAGAUACCCUGGUAGUC
rnacentral:rRNA from 1 species